rnacentral:tRNA from 1 species
GAGGGUAUAGCUCAGUGGCAGAGUACGUGCCUAGCAUGCACAAGGUCCUGGGUUCAGUCCUCAGUACUGCCC